rnacentral:rRNA from 1 species
GAUGAACGCUGGCGGCGUGCUUAACACAUGCAAGUCGAACGGUGAAGCCAAGCUUGCUUGGUGGAUCAGUGGCGAACGGGUGAGUAACACGUGAGCCACCCGCCCUGGACUCUGGGAUAAGCGCUGGAAACGGUGUCUAAUACUGGACAUGAGCUCCUUCCGCAUGGGGGGGGUUGGAAAGAUGUUUCGGUCUGGGAUGGGCUCGCGACCUAUCAGCUUGUUGGUGAGGUAAUGGCUCACCAAGGCGUCGACGGGUAGCCGGCCUGAGAGGGUGACCGGCCACACUGGGACUGAGACACGGCCCAGACUCCUACGGGAGGCAGCAGUGGGGAAUAUUGCACAAUGGGCGGAAGCCUGAUGCAGCAACGCCGCGUGAGGGACGACGGCCUUCGGGUUGUAAACCUCUUUUAGCAGGGAAGAAGCUUUUGUGACGGUACCUGCAGAAAAAGCGCCGGCUAACUACGUGCCAGCAGCCGCCGUAA